UGAGGGGAGGCCGAGGCUCCUCUGCGCAUGCGUGCUUCGGGGAGGCGGUGCCGCCGCCAAACGCCUCAGGGCUCCCAAAAGGCGGGAAGAGCGCGCGCGCGUGGGCGCUCUGAGGCGUUUGGCGGCACCACCUCCCUGAAGCGAAUGGAGGGAGGGAGGCUGCCCCUCUGCUCCUCUCUUGACGCGCGUCGAAAGAAAGGAAUGGGCCCGGGCUCGGUGUUUUUUUUCCUCCCCCUCAGCCGCUGAGGGGAGCCGGGGCGAAAGUCGGAGGAAGCGGCCGUUGUUUUCGCCGCCGCUGCCACCUCAAGGGCAGGCUGAGGGGAACGGAAAGAUUUAUCCGUUCUCGAUACUAUACUUGAUUUCGUGGAGCAAUUUGAUUGAUUUUACUCUGAUUUGCAUGAAGUUCUGACAGUUUUAAAUUGAAACAGACCACCUUGUUAUUUGCUGCAAAAUGGAGACCCUAAUCAGUUUUUCAAGAGAAGGACUGAGUGGUAGACCAUCUGAGCCUCACUAAUGAAGCUUUCGGUAAAAGAGGGUGACACAAACAUAUACACAUUUAGCAACUGUAGAAGGACUAAGCGACCCUAAAGCAAUUUGUGCAGAGAAGACAAUGCCUGGUGUUUACAACAUUGCAACAUGAUUCUAUUCAAACCUCAUCUUACAACUUUACUGCUACAAAAUCAUAGUUUAAGUUUUGAAAUUGAAAUCAAGACAUGAGCCAGUAAAAGUCUGAGUUGAUGUAAAAAGCUCUAAAUGAUGGCAAUUCUCAUGGUGGCACAAAAGACACAAGUACAGAACUAUCCAUUAAUCUAGGCCUUAUCUUUCUUAAAUUAUCAGUGUAGGCCAGUGCCUGGCAUCAAAUCUACAUUAUGGACUUCAUAGAGUUGGAAACUGUUCCAUAGGUCAUGUAUUUCAGUUCUGUGUUUCAGACAAGAUAUGACAACUGUAUUUCUGAGAGAUAUCUCAGCUGAGCCUUUGCUUAAAUACCUAUAGUAUAAUACAGUCCAUCACCUCUGGCAGGCUGUUCUACUGUCAAACAUCCCUGAUUGGGAAGAAGUUUCCCCUAAUGUCCAGCCAAAAUUUGCCUCUUUAUAAUUUUAUUGGUUUGACUUUUGCCAUCUGAGGGUAAUGAAAGACUGAAUUGGUUCUCCAUAUUCUAUAGGACUCUGGAUUCCUAGGGGAAAAGAUCGCCUCUGGAUUCCUAGGGGAAAAGAUCACCUCUUCUCUAGACUAAAGAUACUCAGCUCUUUGAACCUGUUUCCUUGUGGAAUUAGGUUUCAUCACCAUACUUGCUGCUCACCCCUGGACAUGCUCCAGUUUUUCUGUAUCUGUCUUAAAAUGUGCAGCCAGAAUUGGAUAUAGCACUCCAAAUAUAGAUGGACACAGAAUAGAGCGAAACUAUCACGCUGCAUAAUGUUGUCUAAGGGUGCUUUAGAUUUUUUUCUGCAAAUACAUCAAACUACCUCUCCCAUUCUGUACCUGUACUGUUGUUUUGAACCUAAAUACAAGACUCUAACUCUAUUGACUUUUUCAGUUUUGUUAGUUUCAGCUCAGUCUUCGAGCCUUUCAUGAUAAUCUUGCUUAAUGUUGUUAUCUACAAUACUGACUUAAUGUCAUCCACAAACUGACUAAGCAUCCUGUCUAUGUCCUCUUUU